UUUUCGCAAAAGGAAAAAAUGGCGCCCAGCUCGAAAUCGGAAAAAGAAGACAACGGCAAUAAACAAAAACAGCAGCGAAAACACAAAGACCACAUUGUUAAACUCCUCACUCGCGGAAAGUUGUCCGGCCAGCUGUCUCAGAGACUGUUUCGCAAGCUGCCGCCCCGGGUGUGUGUCCCCUUAAAGACUAUAGUGAGCGAGGAGUUCCUCCGGGCAGGUCACAUCUUCCUGGGCUUUACAAAGUGCGGGCGUUAUGUUUUGUCCUACACGAGCGAUUGUGGCGAAGACGACGAUUUCUCCUUCUACACCUACCAUCUGUACUGGUGGGAGUUCAACCUGCACAGUCGCCUCAAACAGGUGCACCAUGUGCGUUUGUUUGCGGGUGAAGACAUCUACAGUGAGCUGUACCUGACCGUCUGCGAGUGGCACAAUGAUCACUCAAAGAUCGUCAUUUUCGGCUUCAAUACUCGCAGCAGCACGGCUCUGAUGAACAUGAUGAUGAGUGACGAGAAUAACAGAGACAUUUACAUCACUAUCGCCUCCAUGCCUCCUGCACAACGGUGCCAACAAUGCUGCCCUCUGCCCACUACAUCAACGAUACGGACAGGAGGGGAGUGUCUGGAGCACGGCUACGUCCUGAACGCUCGUUAUCAGGUGGUUUAUCCGUUCCCCACCUUCCAGCCAGCUCUGCAGCUGAAGAAGGAUCAGGUCAUCCUCCUCAACACCAGCUACUCACUGGUGGCCUGCGCCAUCUCACUCUGCUCCGGCGGAGAGCAGCAGCAGGUGGACGGACAGAAUAAUCAAAUCCUGUACCGAAAAAGAGAGAUUCCUGCUUCCUCCUGUCAUCAUCCUCCCAGCCCGUCCACCUCCUCUACCUCUUCGUCCUCUUCUCACGGGUCACCUGACCGCAGACCGUCCAAUCCCCACGCCACGCCGCUCUCUCCUAGCCGAUCCCAGGCCGCCGUGCGAGCGCGCGAGUUCGCUGCUGAUAUUUUCCGGCGUGCGCAGGCAGGGACCGACGGAGACCGAGACGGCGAGCGGAGAAGGAAGGACGGCGAGGCCAGAGAGGCAAAAAUCUCACGCACGUCCGCCGCAGACUCGGAACGAAGGAGAGUAGAGGACGCGGACGGGCCGUCCACGUCACACGGGAAAGGAAACACCACGUCGUCCGCUGAGCCGGACGAGGGCGUCUCCGGUAACACGGUCAUGUCCCCAGCGUCCGUGUCCUCUUUGUGCUCGCCUUCGCCGCCGUCAUCAUCGUCCACGUCAGAGCCCGGAUACGUGAACUACGCACGACUCAGAUACAGGCUGCAGCAGCCCGGGACGACCGAGCAGGACAGCGGAGAAGAGGAGGAUAAAGUCCAGCUGCCGUUCACCGUCUCGGACCUGAAGGGACGAAACCUGCAGCUGGUGACGGGACAGUACACGGGACCGUGUGUGUGUGUGGAGCAGCUGACCCUGGAUUUUGAGUAUCUGAUUAACGAGGUGAUCAGAAAUGAUGCAGAGUGGGCCUCGCAGUUCUGUUCCUUCAGCGACUAUGACGUCGUAAUCCUUGAGGUUUGCCCGGAGACAAAUAUAGUAGUGAUAAACAUCGGGCUUCUGCUGCUGGCCUUCUCCAACUGCGAGGAGGAGCACAGCAGGCCUAAGUCGUAUCAUUCCAGUCUGCAGGUCAGCUGGGAUCUGAAUACGGGUGCCUGCUGCACCGUUGGUGUCGGUGACCUCACCGAGGUCAAAGGUCAAACCAGUGGGAGUGUGUGGAGUUCUUACAGGAAGUCGUGUGUAAACACGGUCAUGAGGUGGCUCGUCCCUGAGAGCAGCUCACGCUACAUCAACCGCAUGACCAAUGAAGCCCUGCACAAAGGUACCUCUCUUCAAGUACUCGCUGACAGCGACAGAGCCACGUGGAUCGUCCUGCAAUGAAGACACCAUAGCUCGCGCACACACAUUGGCAUAGCGGUUUUAUCUCUGUCCACACUUCGUAUUUAAAAAGAUGUGGAGCGAAAGCCUCGACUGUGUGUCCAGUGAGCCAAACGCGUUGCUGCUGCACUGAGAUCAGACUCUCCGCUGGAACGAACAAAGCGUCUCUAACUCGCCGUCUUUUAUACAUUGCGUCUUUUGUUGUUGUUGUCGUUGUUGUUGUUAUCGUUGUUGUGUAUGUGAUCGAUCUGUUCGUGUGCACGGUUCAACAAAUUUAACCGCCUUUACCCACCGUCAGUAUCGAUCAGGGACAAGUUUCUUUCCCGAACCCUCUGCCAUGAGGUGUUUCGGGGUUUUUAUUUUCCUCUUCCUGUACAGAUCUAACACACUCGAUGUUCCCAACAUGGUGCUUUAACCCGGAUCGGUGUCUUUGGGUUUUGGUCAGAUUAUCCGCAAGUGACCGGUGACUGAUUUUAGCGGCUCGUCGGCCAAAUCUCAGGUUUACACGAUUCGAGCUUAACAAAUCACAAAGCUUUAGUCAGACAUGCUUCUAACUUUUGUAAAGUUGUUUUCCCCAUCUCUCUCUCUCUCUCUCACACACACACACACACGCACACACAGAGGGGUCUUCUCAGCAUUUGUUAUUUAUCUAUGAACACAAUUUGUCGUCUAGUCUAGACCAGCAGUUCUGCUGUUAAACAACGUGGCUAGUCCCCGGCUUUGUUGGUUUGAGCUGCGUCCAGCCGCGAAGACUCCAUCCGUUCCAGAUCUGCACCUUUCUCGUUAUUCAUCGAUCCCUCAGACGAUCAAAAGUAGAUAAAACACUAACACAUGCUUUAAAAAAUAACCAAGGACCACUAUUCUGAACAGCUUCAGAUUUGAUUUGAUCUCGUAAGAACCGUACGCAUACCUGUAAACAUUUUGGUUGCAGGGUCGAGCGUGAGCGACGUUCUCCGGGAACGUUCUCGUCCGUGAACUCAUGUAGGUGCUACGUCGGGGACCUGCGCAUCAUACAGCAUUUCUUCGAGGAAAUAUUGCAAAUUUUGCUCAUUCAAAACAUCCAAAAAUUGUAGUUGGAAAAACGAACGCUGCGUUGGACUAGAGGUCGUAACUCGUAACUCCCAAACUCUGACCAGGAAACACCCCAAGAAAACGCCCUCUUCAGCUCUGCUCGGGGUCCCGAGAUGAUCCUGUCCCCUCAAGUCCGAGUUCCUCGGAGUUCAGCAAGUGACGUCGGAUCAACACGGCUGCUCACAGCAUCGACGUUGUGAGUGCUGUUGAACAGGUCCGUCCUGGCUAAUUUGGCGGGCGGUUCCAGAGACUCCUCCCCCACAGCAUUCGCGUCGACCGGUAUAGGCAUCUGGUCCUCAUCACUCUCGUCCUCUUCCUCUUC